UACGUAGGGUGCGAGCGUUGUCCGGAAUUAUUGGGCGUAAAGAGCUCGUAGGCGGUUUGUUGCGUCUAUCGUGAAAACCUGCGGCUUAACUGUGGGCUUGCGGUGGAUACGGGCAGACUUGAGUUCGGUAGGGGGAGACUGGAAUUCCUGGUGUAGCGGUGAAAUGCGCAGAUAUCAGGAGGAACACCGGUGGCGAAGGCGGGCCUCUGGGCCGAUACUGACGCUGAGGAGCGAAAGCGUGGGGAGCGAACAGG
rnacentral:rRNA from 1 species